rnacentral:rRNA from 1 species
UACGUAGGCAGCAAGCGUUGUUCGGAGUUACUGGGCGUAAAGGGUGUGUAGGCGGUUGUUUAAGUUUGGUGUGAAAGCCCCCGGCUCAACUGGGGAGGGUCACCGGUAACGGCCGAGCUACGAGUGCAGGAGAGGGAAGUGGAACUCCGGGAGUAGCGGUGAAAUGCGUAGAGACCCGGAGGAACACCAGUGGCGAAGGCGGCUUCCUGGUCUGCAACUGACGCUGUGGCGCGAAAGCUAGGGGAGCAAACGGG